AAAUUGAAGAGUUUGAUCAUGGCUCAGAUUGAACGCUGGCGGCAGGCCUAACACAUGCAAGUCGAGCGGAAACGAGUUCACUGAACCUUCGGGGAACGUGAACGGCGUCGAGCGGCGGACGGGUGAGUAAUGCCUGGGAAAUUGCCCUGAUGUGGGGGAUAACCAUUGGAAACGAUGGCUAAUACCGCAUAAUAGCUUCGGCUCAAAGAGGGGGACCUUCGGGCCUCUCGCGUCAGGAUAUGCCCAGGUGGGAUUAGCUAGUUGGUGAGGUAAGGGCUCACCAAGGCGACGAUCCCUAGCUGGUCUGAGAGGAUGAUCAGCCACACUGGAACUGAGACACGGUCCAGACUCCUACGGGAGGCAGCAGUGGGGAAUAUUGCACAAUGGGCGCAAGCCUGAUGCAGCCAUGCCGCGUGUAUGAAGAAGGCCUUCGGGUUGUAAAGUACUUUCAGCAGUGAGGAAGGUUCAUACGUUAAUAGCGUAUGGAUUUGACGUUAGCU
rnacentral:rRNA from 1 species